ACGGAGGAUGCAAGCGUUAUCCGGAUUCAUUGGGUUUAAAGGGUGCGUAGGCGGAAUAAUAAGUCAGGGGUGAAAGUUUGCGGCUCAACCGUAAAAUUGCCUUUGAUACUGUUAUUCUUGAGUACAAACGAGGUAGGCGGAAUGUGAUGUGUAGCGGUGAAAUGCUUAGAUAUGUCACAGAACACCGAUUGCGAAGGCAGCUUACUAGGAUGUAACUGACGCUGAUGCACGAAAGCGUGGGUAUCGAACAGG
rnacentral:rRNA from 1 species